AUGCCCAACAGACUAAGCCAUUCAGGUGACCCUCAAACGCUUCUUCUCAGUUGUUGCCAAAUCCACCAAGAGCUGUGCUCAGAAGAGAAAGAAAGUGAGUAUCAAAAUGUUACUCAAGACCCUGAAGUAGCUAAGGAUGUAUCCUUGCAGCUUGGGAAGAUGUUCUUUCAGAAUUCUAGGGAAGACACCUUCUUUGUCCUACCUGGUCCACAUGAGGGGCACCAGCACGUGUCAGCUUACUGACUGGCUUUCCUAAAAUAAGGUAAAUCGUACUGGUAAGCAUGGCAUCAUCAGAUGGUCUUUCUUGAGUGUUACUCUGGUUGGCAGGAAAAUAUGAAAUUAGCACAGUAUAUAAACAGGAACUUUUUCUAGUAUUAGCGUCCAUGGUUUUCUCUCUGGUGGCAUAUGAAAGGCCUUUGAAAGCAUACAUUAUACAUAUGAGAAGAUUCCAGCGCUGAGGUUGAGAAUUAAUAUUGUGAUGGUGAGAAGGUCUCUGCUGGAAUUGACUCUGAUAAAACACUGAAGCACACUUCGUGUUUAAGACAGACACUGUACUUCCCCACCCCCGCCAUGAUUUCAUAUAAAUGUCCUAACAUUUUUUUUAAAAACUUGCUUCUAACUGUGAAUUGAAAUAUAUGCAUUUUACAUUGAGCGUAAGUUUCCUAUUUUAUUAGGAAAAAGAAAAGGAAGAAAACCCAGACAAAAGAAGCUAAUUAAAAAACACUAAAUGUUUCUCUAGUGUAGUGUAUGAACAGCCCUUUAAGAA
rnacentral:lncRNA from 1 species